rnacentral:rRNA from 1 species
UGGUGGGUAGUUUGACUGGGGCGGUCUCCUCCUAAAGAGUAACGGAGGAGCACGAAGGUUGGCUAAUCCUGGUCGGACAUCAGGAGGUUAGUGCAAUGGCAUAAGCCAGCUUGACUGCGAGCGUGACGGCGCGAGCAGGUGCGAAAGCAGGUCAUAGUGAUCCGGUGGUUCUGAAUGGAAGGGCCAUCGCUCAACGGAUAAAAGGUACUCCGGGGAUAACAGGCUGAUACCGCCCAAGAGUUCAUAUCGACGGCGGUGUUUGGCACCUCGAUGUCGGCUCAUCACAUCCUGGGGCUGAAGUAGGUCCCAAGGGUAUGGCUGUUCGCCAUUUAAAGUGGUACGCGAGCUGGGUUUAGAACGUCGUGAGACAGUUCGGUCCCUAUCUGCCGUGGGCGCUGGAGAACUGAGGGGGGCUGCUCCUAGUACGAGAGGACCGGAGUGGACGCAUCACUGGUGUUCGGGUUGUCAUGCCAAUGGCACUGCCCGGUAGCUAAAUGCGGAAGAGAUAAGUGCUGAAAGCAUCUAAGCACGAAACUUGCCCCGAGAUGAGUUCUCCCUGACUCCUUGAGAGUCCUGAAGGAACGUUGAAGACGACGACGUUGAUAGGCCGGGUGUGUAAGCGCAGCGAUGCGUUGAGCUAACCGGUACUAAUGAACCGUGAGGCUUAAC